UGUCCUUCCAGUGAGCACUCAGGGCUGAUUUCCCUAAGAAUGGAUAGGUUUGAUCUUCUUGCAGUCCAUGGGACUCUCAAGAGUCUCCUCCAACACCAUAAUUCAAAAGCAUCAAUUCUUCGGUGAUCAGCCUUCUUUAUGGUCCAGCUCUCACUUCCAUACAUCACUACUGGGAAAACCAUAGCUUUUACUAUACCUGGAGGAGGAACCGGCAAGCCACUCUAGUAUCCCUGCCAAGAAAACUCCAUGGACAAAGACAACAGGCAACUGUAUAUUAGGCUUCAGAAAUUAAUAGUACAAGCACAUCGGAGCCAGAGCAAAUGGUGAUGUGCACUGAGGCCUGAGCAUGCACUGUUGCCAGGAUAAUUAGUUGGCAUGAUGUAACAACUGAUAAAAGAGUUCUGCAGUUGCCAUGGACUCUGUACUUAGUGCAUCUUAGUACUUGAACCUGUCAUGUUCACUCUGGAGCAUAGGCACAUAGAAAACUGCCAUAUGAGCUCUGACUUUGGUGGCAAAGGGGUGGAAAGAAAGAAGAAGACCCGACAAUAAUGGAUUGGCAUAACAAGCUACAAGAAUUUGCUGAAAUGACAUUCUGGGACACAAAGGUGUAAGAAAACCAUGGGAGAAGAAAGAAGAUGGAAUCAAAUUUGCAAUAUAAGUUACAAAGAGAGAAAUCUAUGGAAAUCCCUUCCCCCUCCAACCCUUGCCGAUACCUGCAUAAGGCAGAUAGUGAAGGGAGGAAAAGCACUAUGUCGUCUUUAGAAGCCAGGCUCCACUCACUCACUCGUCCUUUCUUAUCUAUAUUCAUGGGUUUUUCAGGGGCCCAGCAGUUACAUGUCAGAAUGAUGAGUCUCAACCUUGUUUCAGGAUAAAGCAUCAAUCUGCCGGUGCAUACUGAGUCUGACCUGAUAGAAUUUAAGAGGUACUGUAGGCUCUGUGAUUCCUCUACAGAAUGUAAUUUUUGAACUCAGUCCUCAGUGAUAGACAAGAUAUUCUAUCAAAGCUGCCUCUCUGAAUUGAGGAAAGAGCUGUCCCAGGAGUAUAUCUCGAAGGUUUUGCCAAUCUGUGUUCACGUGGAGACUAACAACCGUCUUACAAGUGACUUUUCUCCCUUCUGCUUAGCAUGGACCUAGUACGCUCUGUCCUCCCACCUUUCACUUUACUUCCAGACAGAUGCAAUAUAUUAUUUGUCUGCUAUGUGCACUUAUUUCCCUGCUGAUCUAGGAGCAGCCGUGGAAAGGGGAAAUUUCAUGUUGGGGGUCGUUUGAUAGCAGGGGCUGAAGCGCUUCCUCUGAAGUGUGAGAUCGGAAAGAAAGUUAAUGAUAAUGACUGUUAAAUCUUA